UAAAAGGAGAAGACCCUAUGGAGCUUUAAUUCAUUAAUGUAAUUAAAAACUCAAACAAGCCUACAGGCCCUAGCCUACUAUUCCUGCAUUAAAAAUUUUGAUAGGGGUGACCUCGAAGCAUAAUUCAACUCCAAACAACCUAAACUAAGACCAUAUUAGUCUAAUUGAGUUACUAUACAUGGACCCAAUAUUUUGAUAAACAGAAUAAGUUACCCUAGAGAUAACAGCACAAUCCCAUUCUAGAGUCCAUAUCUACAAUAGGGUUUACAACCUCAAUGUUGGAUUAGGACAUCCUAAUGACGUAGCUGCUAUUAAGGGUUCGUUUGUUCAACGAUUAAAGUCCUACAUCAGCUGAGUUCAGACCAGAGUAAUCCAGGUCAGUCUCUAUUUA
rnacentral:ncRNA from 1 species